UACGUAGGGUGCAAGCGUUGUCCGGAAUUAUUGGGCGUAAAGAGCUCGUAGGCGGUGUGUCGCGUCGGUCGUGAAAACCUGCAGCUUAACUGUGGGCGUGCGGUCGAUACGGGCAUCACUGGAGUUCGGCAGGGGAGACUGGAAUUCCUGGUGUAGCGGUGAAAUGCGCAGAUAUCAGGAGGAACACCGGUGGCGAAGGCGGGUCUCUGGGCCGAUACUGACGCUGAGGAGCGAAAGCGUGGGGAGCAAACAGG
rnacentral:rRNA from 1 species